GACGAACGCUGGCGGCGUGCUUAACACAUGCAAGUCGAACGGAAAGGCCCUGCUUUUGUGGGGUGCUCGAGUGGCGAACGGGUGAGUAACACGCGAGUAACCUGCCCUUGACUUUGGGAUAACUUCAGGAAACUGGGGCUAAUACCGGAUAGGAGCUCCUGCUGCAUGGUGGGGGUUGGAAAGUUUCGGCGGUUGGGGAUGGACUCGCGGCUUAUCAGCUUGUUGGUGGGGUAGUGGCUUACCAAGGCUUUGACGGGUAGCCGGCCUGAGAGGGUGACCGGCCACAUUGGGACUGAGAUACGGCCCAGACUCCUACGGGAGGCGGCGGUGGGGAAUAUUGCACAAUGGGCGGAAGCCUGAUGCAGCAACGCCGCGUGCGGGAUGACGGCCUUCGGGUUGUAAACCGCUUUCGCCUGUGACGAAGCGUGAGUGACGGUAAUGGGUAAAGAAGCACCGGCUAACUACGUG
rnacentral:rRNA from 1 species